AGCUUAAACUCUGAAACUCGUCAUCUCUGUCCCAUUUCGGGGUAUUUUCUGGUCUGCAGAGCGUGCCUGUCCCUUAUAGAGUCACAAAGAGUCCCAGUGAUGUGGAGAAGUGGCAGUCUUCCUCUGGCUUUGAAGUUGGUGAUAAAUGUUUAAUAUGCGGCAGAACAGAGUGAAUUGUGGGAAUAUUCCCUGAGGAGUCUUCACAAAGCGGUGUCAUUUUUCUUGAUGACAAGCACGACAGCGCCAUUUGCUUAUCUCCAGCCGAGGAGCUCCUCCUGACGAACCAGCUCCACUACGAGAGGAGAGGAGAUGAGAGGAGAGAGGAGAGCCUUCAAGAGAUUCCUCCUGUCCUCCUUCCUCCUCUCCUCCCUCCUCUUCUCCUGUACUGCCUCUUUCCUCCAUCUCUUUCCCCUCUGCCUGUUUCCUCCUUUCCUCCAUCUCUUUCCCCUUUGCCUCUUUCUUUUCCUCCACCUCUUUCCCCUCUGCCUGCUUCCUCCUCCUCUCCUCCACCUCUUUCCUCUCCUCCUCUCCUCCAUCUCAAUCCCCUCUGCCUGCUUCCUCCUCCUCUGCCGUCUCUGUCUGUGAAUCUCCUACAUGUCACAGUUCCUCCUUUGUCAUGGUUUUAAAUUGACAUUUAUACACAUUUUUCUGCUGGCUGUUGGCAGCUAUAUUUAAUUUCCCAGCUUCUGACUUUAACUUGUCUAGCCAAAUCUAAACACCGUGGUACUGCCCUGACUCUCAGAGUGAGUGUGUGUGUGUGUGUGUGUGUGUGCCCUGACUCUCAGAGUGUGUGUGUGUGUGUGUGUGUGUGUGUGUGUGUGUGUGUGUGUGUGUGUGUGUGUGUGUGUGUGUGUGUGUGUGUGUGUUGGCCCUGACUCUCAGAGUGAGUGAGUGAGUGAGCCCUGACUCUAAGACUGUGUGUGUGUGCCCUGACUCUAAGACUGUGUGUGUGUGCCCUGACUCUCAGAGUGAUGAGUGUGUGUGUGUGUGCCCUGACUCUCAGAGUGUGUGUGUGUGAGUGCCUUUUCCCCUCAUAUGCUUGCUGUCAGCAUUGUACAACUGAAGUCCUGUUCAUCUGAACCAGUACCUCUCCAUAUUCCCAUGCAAUUAAUAAGUGAUAAAAGUAAUAAAAGCAUGUUUGUCGCCAUAUCGGUGAUGUCACACUGGACAAAUGACACGCCUCUCUUAAGCCAGGGUUGAUUGACUUGUUUUGUUUCCUGGCUGAAGCGCCGACCUCAAGG
ensembl:lncRNA